UUGGGCGUCGCCACCUCGUUUGUCGACCGGCGCGGCGGCGAGACGCACCGUGUCGGUGCCGAGAUGUCUACUUCCCCGUCGUCUCACAAGCGUGGCCGCGAGCGCGACGUCGACGCUGUGCCGUCGGCACUGUGGGUCCGGAUGGACAAGGAGUUCCUCGCCAACCAAGGCCUUCUUAAGAGAGCCAAGCUCUUGCCCCGUCUCCGUUCCGCUGGCCCCUCCGCCGCCGACAAGAAGAACUGCGCGCCUGCGCUAGCGUCACGACGAUCAGGGGCUCCUGCAGUUGUGCCGUCGACAGCACCAAAGAGGGAGACGUCGUCGCAACCCAAGGCAGCAACGGAGACUGCGGAUCGGACUCGGAUCGCCGCACCAGCAGCGAAUACGAAGCAGCAGCAGAGCGCAGGCGCAGCCGCCAAGAACCCGAUCCCUCCGGCAGUUCGUCCUAGCAAGAACCUGCCACCGGCCGAGGCACCAGCAACAGCGAAUUCGAAGCAGCAGCAGCAGCAGCGCGCAGGCACAGCCGCCAAAAACCCGAUCCCUCCGGCAGUUCGUCCUAGCAAGAACCUGCCACCGGCCGAGGCACCAGCAGCAGCGAAGCAGCAGCACCCGGCGGUCCAGCAUGCAGUUGCUGCCGAGACAGAGAAGUCGGCGCUGCCUGAUGAGAUGGAGAAGUCAAGGAAGGAGUUCCGCCGGAUGCUGGAGGAGAUGGAGAAGUUGGCGCUGCCUGAUCAGACGAUAUACCCAGAGGACCUAGAGGAGCUCGGCCUCACGCCAGUCGAACAUGUCGUGACGAGGACGAGGAAGCAGGCAAGGUUGGAAGACCACGCCAAGCGCUUCAGAUCACUUCGUAGCUAG
rnacentral:misc_RNA from 1 species